GCCUUAAAUGUGCAAAUUGAAAGGGCAAAGACGGCUUUUGCAAUUAUAGCAAGCAUUCCUCGCUUAGGAUCGUGAACGUAUCUUGGUCGCCUUCCCAAGUAAGUUGCGGGAUCGAAUCCCCGCUGCGUCGGCCGCACUUAGAUGGAGGCAAAAUGUUAAAGUCAGCGAUGGGCCUCAAGAAUUCUUUCUUUCAGUUUCUCUUGCUCAUUUCUCUUGUCGUCCUCGUCAUGUCCGCCCGACGAGCGAGACGUAA